rnacentral:rRNA from 1 species
CAGCAGCCGCGGUAAUACGUAGGCGGCAAGCGUUGUCCGGAAUUAUUGGGCGUAAAGCGCGCGCAGGUGGUUUAAUAAGUCUGAUGUGAAAGCCCACGGCUCAACCGUGGAGGGUCAUUGGAAACUGUUAAACUUGAGUGCAGGAGAGAAAAGUGGAAUUCCUAGUGUAGCGGUGAAAUGCGCAGAGAUUAGGAGGAACACCAGUGGCGAAGGCGGCUUUUUGGCCUGUAACUGACACUGUGGCGCGAAAGCGUGGGGAGCAAACAGGAUUAGAUACCCCUGUAGUCCCUGUCUCUUAUAC